GCCACGCCUUCCUGUCAUGAGACACUUUAUCUCUAUGGAACUAUAAUCCAAAAUAAACUUUUUAUUCUCAAGCUGCUUUUGAUUAUGGCAGUUUAUUACAUCAACAGAAAAGUAACUAGUAGAGAAAGUACCUAGUUGAAGGUGUGUGGCAACAGUUCAAUAUGAUGAGUACCAAAAAGACAGAAGUUAGUUCUAUGAUCAACAUAGAGAAUAUCUAGGAAGGCUGUCUGCACUAGCCAAGGUUUGAACACAUCCUGAAGGACUAAGCAGUUUGAAGACAAACUGACAGAAACACCUAAGAAAGUGAAACAAUUCUAAUGUAACUGAACAGUGAGAUCCACUGAAAGACAAGGUGGGAAAGGGCCCUAACGUGAUGGCGGAAUUCAGGUGGCUGGUGGAAAGAUUUAUCAUUACAACCAUAGGUAUAAAAGAAGAAAUCAAGGGACUUCCAGGUAUUGACAAAGUAGAAGCUGCCUCCAUGUGAUCCAAUUAAGAAGAGUCAGCAUAAGAUGGAGAACUGUAUUUCAAAGACAGAAAAGAAACAGACUUCAGGAAUUUCCAAAUCCAAUGAUAUAACAGCAGAAAAGUACAGAGAAAAAGGACAAGUGCCACACCAGAAAGAAACAAAGCUGAACACAGCCCCAGCUGUGUGGUUCCGUAGCAAGAAGGAGGAAGAAUCAGAAGCCCUGUCUUUUUACAGGGUACAUAAGACAACCCGUGAAAAGAGACAUACAGCCCUACAAGCAGGUCAAGCUCACAGCCCUCUAGGCUUCAAAUGCAGUUGUGGAUUUUGAUGAGCCAAUAACUCCUCUGACAGAUUAAUCAGCAGUGGAGAUCAUAUGAUAUCAAGAACAGUGACCAGGCACUAUCUUGAGGGGAAUUCUAUUAUUCAAAACCGAGAUACCCUGAAAACCUCAUUAAUACAGAAAAAAGACAAGUCAGGGAGCUUGAUUUUAACCUGCCACAGACCCAAGGUAAAUGACAGUCCUGGAAGAAGUUGCAGAGAGCCGACCAUCUGAAAAGUUCAGGCAGUGGGACUCUGUUUAAGCAGUGCAUAACAGCAUCCCCACUAGCCAGUGGUCAGUUUUAUCAACUGAGAACAAUCCAGAAGUUUGAUAGGGCCUAGCCUCAGGCCAGCAGUUGACCACUAAUCACUGUGAAGGGUACAUCUUAGGAGACUCAGGAGGGCAAGAAAGCCUGACAAACUCACAGACUGCAAAGUGAAGUGUGGCCAGUAGAGGCCCCUGGUACACAAUGAAGGGCAGCUCCUAAAGAGAAGAAAGCUCUGGCAGACAAGGCACACUUGUCCAAUACAGGCUCACCACCAGUAUAAAUCAAAAGAGUUCACGAGUUCAACUGAUCCCUCCAUAUGUAUAGGUGCCAAUCUUCAAGUUUUGAAGACUGAGAAGACAGCUAGUCCAACAGGUUUUUUUUUUUCAUUUCUCUGGCUCCUCGUUGUGCAACCCCUUUUCUUCUUACUAAGCUCUUAGCAGUACUUUGACUUUAUAACAUAUAAAAUGAUUAUCUAUUCAUCUUCAUGUAGUUAUUUAAUUUUCAUGUUGGCAACAUUUUCCUUUCUUUCAUUAUUUAUUGUUCCAAGUUGCCACUUUUCCCUCUCUACUAUACAUUCAGUCAAAUUUUUGUUAUCUGAAGGUUUGUUCCUUUGUUUGUCUUGUUGUUUUAGAAAAUGUCUCACUGUGUACUCUGACUGGUCUGGAAUUUGUCUAUGCAGAACAGAUUAGACUCCAACCCACAGAAAUUUGCCUGAUUCUGCCUCCCAGGUGAUGGGAUUAAAGUCACAUAUCUCCACACCUGACUUAAUUUGUUUUUCUUAUUAAAGGAUUCAUAUAUUUUUAGUUUUUCACUCCCCUUCUCAUGGAUAACUAAUUUUGCUUUGAACAUUUUUAUUGCUGGAAAAAUAUCCUCCCUAAUCUCAUGUGUACCAGGCUUUCUUUUGGGCCACCAAUCAGGUCCCACAUCAUGACAUAGACUUAUUAGUUAUGAAUGCUCAGCCUGAUCUUAUGCUCAUUUCUUGCUAGCUCUUGCAACUUAAUCUGUUUCUCUUUAUCUAUGUUUUGCCUUGGGGAUUUUACCUUUUCUUUCUGUAUGUCCUAUUCCAUCUAGCUGGCUGGUGUCUGGCUGGCUGGCUGGUCCCAGGCAUCUCCCUCUCUUUCUCCUUCAUUUUUCUCCUCUCUUCUCCUCUCCUCUUCUCCUCUCCUCUGCCCCUCUACACUUCUCUUCUCUUCUAGAUUUCUUAUUUAUUCCUUCUGCCCACCAGCUUGGCCUAGCCCUCUUCUGUUCUAGCUAUUGGUCCUUUAGCUCUUUAUUAGAUCAAUCAGGUAGUUGCUGUAGGUAGGAAAGUUGAAAGAAAUGCAACCCAUCUUUAUGUAAUUAAACAAAAGCAGAACAAACAAAUGUGAAGAUUAAAUUAGCAGAUGCUUAGCAGAAUUCUAAAAGAAGAGUGAAUGUGCAAUCACAAGGCUCUACCCACAUUCAUUGCUUCUACUUCUACUAACUACUACUGUUGCUUUUGAAAAUGCUGCUUCUGUUAUUGCUACAGAACUGAGAUGACUUUGAACAAAUCUAACAGCAAGUCAUUCAAUGAUUCAGUAUAGACUAAAAGUCUACUUUAAAAUGAAAAUCAUUUGGUGAGAUGUAAGGAUAUUUGGCAAUAUUAAUGUUCCAACAAUUUCAGACCUGUACCUGAUGAGCCUGAUUCACUCCUCUAGGAUAUAUCAACAUACAAAGGGGAAAAAUUCUCCAUCAGAGAAUGUAGGAGACUCAUGGAAGUAACAGAUGUUUGAGAACCAGUUGAAUGAUUUCUCAAUCCUAUGUGAGCCUUCAGAGGACUUUCUAUUUGGGGGAAUUUCCCAUGACCCAGCUUCAGCUGUGAAAGCCAGAG
rnacentral:lncRNA from 1 species